CAGCCGCCGCGGGAAUACGAAGGGGGCUAGCGUUGUUCGGAAUUACUGGGCGUAAAGCGCACGUAGGCGGAUAUUUAAGUCAGGGGUGAAAUCCCAGAGCUCAACUCUGGAACUGCCUUUGAUACUGGGUAUCUUGAGUAUGGAAGAGGUGAGUGGAAUUCCGAGUGUAGAGGUGAAAUUCGUAGAUAUUCGGAGGAACACCAGUGGCGAAGGCGGCUCACUGGUCCAUUACUGACGCUGAGGUGCGAAAGCGUGGGGAGCAAACAGGAUUAGAUACCCGUGUAGUCCCUGUCUCUUAUAC
rnacentral:rRNA from 1 species